GCGCCCGUAGCUCAGCUGGAUAGAGCACCGGACUUCUAAUCCGACGGUCCCAGGUUCGAGUCCUGGCGGGCGCACCA
rnacentral:tRNA from 1 species